GCACGACACAAGUUAUGUCCCGAAAAUAUGUCUGUGAACAGGUGUAGUAUCAAAACUUUUAACGACUUGAAUCCAAGGUUUGUCUAUGAUUAAGGUGGACGUUUUUGAAAGAUGUCCAACAAAUAAGACGGGGUCUCUGAAGGCAUGAAACUCGAAAUUCUUUCUACCAUUGAGUUUCGUCUCCAGGUCACUUCCCUUUAACUUACGCUUCAUACCUCCAUUCACAAGAGUGCUAUAUAGCUUCUUUGAAGCCAAAUCU
rnacentral:misc_RNA from 1 species